rnacentral:rRNA from 2 species
AGAGUUUGAUCAUGGCUCAGGAUGAACGCCGGCGGUGUGCCUAAUACAUGCAAGUCGAGCGCACUGGCCCAACUGAUAUGACGUGCUUGCACUGAAUUGACGUUGGAUUACCAGUGAGCGGCGGACGGGUGAGUAACACGUGGGCAACCUGCCCUGAAGUGGGGGAUAACAUCUGGAAACAGGUGCUAAUACCGCAUAACAACGAAAACCACAUGGUUUUCGUUUCAAAGAUGGUUUCGGCUAUCACUUCAGGAUGGGCCCGCGGUGCAUUAGCUAGUUGGUAAGGUAACGGCUUACCAAGGCAAUGAUGCAUAGCCGAGUUGAGAGACUGAUCGGCCACAAUGGAACUGAGACACGGUCCAUACUCCUACGGGAGGCAGCAGUAGGGAAUCUUCCACAAUGGGCGCAAGCCUGAUGGAGCAACACCGCGUGAGUGAAGAAGGGUUUCGGCUCGUAAAGCUCUGUUGUUGGAGAAGAACGUGCGUGAGAGUAACUGUUCACGCAGUGACGGUAUCCAACCAGAAAGUCACGGCUAACUACGUGCCAGCAGCCGCGGUAAUACGUAGGUGGCAAGCGUUAUCCGGAUUUAUUGGGCGUAAAGCGAGCGCAGGCGGUUGCUUAGGUCUGAUGUGAAAGCCUUCGGCUUAACCGAAGAAGGGCAUCGGAAACCGGGCGACUUGAGUGCAGAAGAGGACAGUGGAACUCCAUGUGUAGCGGUGGAAUGCGUAGAUAUAUGGAAGAACACCAGUGGCGAAGGCGGCUGUCUGGUCUGCAACUGACGCUGAGGCUCGAAAGCAUGGGUAGCGAACAGGAUUAGAUACCCUGGUAGUCCAUGCCGUAAACGAUGAGUGCUAGGUGUUGGAGGGUUUCCGCCCUUCAGUGCCGGAGCUAACGCAUUAAGCACUCCGCCUGGGGAGUACGACCGCAAGGUUGAAACUCAAAGGAAUUGACGGGGGCCCGCACAAG